AGUGAGGAAUAUUGGUCAAUGGGCGCAAGCCUGAACCAGCCAUGCCGCGUGCAGGAUGACGGUCCUAUGGAUUGUAAACUGCUUUUGUACGGGAAGAAACACUCGAACGUGUUCGGGCUUGACGGUACCGUAAGAAUAAGGAUCGGCUAACUCCGUGCCAGCAGCCGCGGUAAUACGGAGGAUCCAAGCGUUAUCCGGAAUCAUUGGGUUUAAAGGGUCCGUAGGCGGUCUGGUAAGUCAGUGGUGAAAGCCCAUCGCUCAACGGUGGAACGGCCAUUGAUACUGCCAGACUUGAAUUUCCAGGAAGCAACUAGAAUAUGUAGUGUAGCGGUGAAAUGCUUAGAUAUUACAUGGAAUACCAAUUGCGAAGGCAGGUUGCUACUGGUGGAUUGACGCUGAUGGACGAAAGCGUGGGUAGCGAA
rnacentral:rRNA from 1 species